rnacentral:lncRNA from 1 species
AAAUAUAAACAAAACAGUUAAUAACAAAGUAAUUUGGGAGGAAUAAUUUUUUAUUUUUUAGCAGGUGGUGGUGGAGAUUCAGGAGAGUCUUCCUGCAGAAGACAGCAUCUAAGAAGCAUCUUAAAGGAAGAGGGGGCUCUUUGAGAUGGAGUUACAGGUGAGUCACUGCAUCCUGG